UUGGUGCGACAUUCAAUCGGGUCGCCUUUCUUCGCACGACGUGCGAUACCGCACUCCUUCCUUCCCCGUGCGCCCCUUCCUCUCUGCGCCGUCAAUCACGCACCCAGCGAUCCUUCACCGCACAAUCCUUCCUUCCCCUUCGCUAUCGUGCAAUCCAUCUCCCAACGCGGCCACUUCUCCUCGGCGGCACGGCAGGUCGGCUCCCGGACGCAGUCAACGCCUUAGCGCAUCCCUCUCCCAACGCGGCCACUUCUGCUCGGCGGCACGGCAGCUCCCUGACGCAGCGACGUUUGCAGGAAAAGGAAAAGGAAAAGGAAAGGCUCCCACGCCGCCGCCGUCCUCAUCCGCCUCCCCAUCGUCGCCCUCACCCGCCACGUACGGUCUCACGCCGUCCUCGCCGUCGAGGCUACGCACAGGUGGACGUGGGCCUCAGCGAUGGCAGCUGUGCAAGGGGGUCGUGCCAAGCGGCGCAUCCACUGGUACAUGUGUCUGUCUCCUCUCCAUCCGCCCUGUGAUUUCUGAGUGCUUUGUGUUGCUCUGUUCCUCAGUCGUGCCUUCCUCCUUUCCAUCCGCCCUGUGAUUUUCGAGUGCUCUGUGUUGCUCUGUUCCUCAGACACCGCUUGGCUUGCCUGAUCACGCAUCGAGGGAUUUCAAUGGUGAGAUUAGUCCAUGCUGUGUGACCAAUCACAUGUAUACUGUGCAUUGGUUGGUUGUGGAUAUUAACAGUCACCUACGUGAUGUUGAAUUUUCUAUGACUGGAUGUGUGUGUGGUUGAUUUUUUUUGUUAGAUUUGAUUGAUCCGUAUAUUGUUGAGUCUGUUCUCCUCCUUAAUAGAUGGCACCCUUCUGUUUUUUACUGCACGAAUUGAAGUACUUCAUGUGAAAAUUACUGCUGUUUUUUUACUACAUGAGUCGAAGUACUUUUAUGUGAAAUUUCUAUGCUCGGGAUCUCUAGAAUCAACUUCGUCUCAAAGCAGAGCCUAAAGUGUUUAGAAACAUGUCAGCAGAAUAAUCACCAGCACUACAAGGUUAGCUGAUCUGAAAACUGCUUACCGUGUGGAUCUAUUAAUGAAGCAGAAGAGAGCCUUUGUCAACUAUUCAACUUCUAUUAUACUAUCUACUAUUAAUUAGAAUGUUUUUUAGAUAAUGUGAUUUAUUUAUCUAUUUAAUUUCGGUUAGACUUCUCUGAACCUUGCUUCAAUCAUUGAGUAUUAGCAUGAUUUUGUUUUUGAAUAAUACAGAAAGAAUGCAGUGAAGCCAAUAGACCUCUCCAGAAGUAUUCUUAUGUAAUGAAUCAUGAAACAUAUUUAUAUGUGAUAACAUGCCAUGUUUAAUCAUUUUGAAAUGUUAGCAACACAGAAAAUAAUUUUUUCUUUCAUUUUAUAUAUGGUACUCUGGGAUGUCAGUGUCUACUAUUUCGUUUGGAAUGGACUUUCUGUAGUUGCCUCAAACUCCAUAUGUUUGACAUCUAUGUGCAGAAUUUUGAUAUUUUUUCUUUGAACAAUUGACCACUCAGGAAUAUACGAGGCCUUGGAGUUGAGGGAUGGCAGACCUGAUAAUCUUGGCAGGGUGUUCUUAAGAUAAGCUUGGAACUUGCUCUGUACUUGUGGUUCAGGAUGAAUUAUGAUAUUUCACCAUUGCCCUUGACCAUUACUUCAAGUAUAUUAGUAACUGGGUCUCUGACAGAUUAGUCAAAUAGUCAUACCAUAACCAUUGCGUCUUGGCUAGCCUAAAUCACCUUCGCUCUACCAAUAUGGUUUUGAGAAAGUAGUGCCUACAACCAUAACACCAUCAUGGAACUUUGUCCUUUCUUUGUCAUAAAUUUUGAUUGAAUGGGUUGCGGGAAAUUUUGUCAAGUGGAGGAAUAUGGGUUUGAAACGGCAAAGAAUAUGCACUGAGCGAUGGCAUUGAUACUAUCAAACAUGCUUUUGGGGGAUCACCACAAGAUAUUUGCAAGAGGGUUUGAAUCGAAGAACUUUGGUUAUGCUUCGACAAAGAAUAGAAG